rnacentral:rRNA from 1 species
UACGGAGGGUGCAAGCGUUAUCCGGAUUCACUGGGUUUAAAGGGUGCGUAGGUGGGCUAGUAAGUCAGUGGUGAAAUCUCCGGGCUUAACCCGGAAACUGCCAUUGAUACUAUUAGUCUUGAAUACCAUGGAGGUGAGCGGAAUAUGUCAUGUAGCGGUGAAAUGCUUAGAUAUGACAUAGAACACCAAUUGCGAAGGCAGCUCGCUACGCGGUUAUGACACUGAGGCACGAAAGCGUGGGGAUCAAA